rnacentral:misc_RNA from 1 species
GAUGAAGAACGCAGCGAAAUGCGAUAAGUAAUGUGAAUUGCAGAAUUCAGUGAAUCAUCGAAUCUUUGAACGCACCUUGCACCCUUUGGUAUUCCGAAGGGUAUGCUCGUUUGAGUGUCAUUGUACUCUCACACUCUCCGAUCCUAUGGAUUCGGGGAGCGGUGGACUUGGGUGUUGCUGCCUUUCCUUGUGGCUCACCUCAAAUGUGUCAGUGCACCUCUUGGUUGGACAUAGUACGGCGUGAUAAGUGUCUUCGCCGGCACCUCGCAAGAGGGUGGCCGAUCGGGAGCUCUGUGCUUUCAAACCGUCUUCGGACAAUUUCUGACAACUUGACCUCAAAUCGAGUAGGACUACCCGCUGAACUUAAGCAUAUCAAUAAGCGGAGGA